rnacentral:rRNA from 1 species
GAUGAACGCUAGCGGCAGGCUUAACACAUGCAAGUCGAGGGGUAGAGGCUUUCGGGCCUUGAGACCGGCGCACGGGUGCGUAACGCGUAUGCAAUCUGCCUUGUACUGGGGGAUAGCCCAGAGAAAUUUGGAUUAAUAUCCCAUAGUAUUUUCGGUUGGCAUCAACUGAUUAUUAAAGUUUUUCGGUACAAGAUGAGUAUGCUUCCCAUUGCAUAGUUGGAAUGGUAACGUCAUACCAAGUGUACGAGGGGUAGGGGUCCAGAGAGGGAGAUCCCCCACACUGGUACUGAGACACGGACCAUACUCCUACGGGAGGCAGCAGUGAGGAAUAUUGGUCAAUGGUCGCAAGACUGAACCAGCCAUGCCGCGUGCAGGAUGAAGCAUCUAUGGUGUGUAAACUGCUUUUGUACGGGAAGAAACACUGCUACGUGUAGCAGCUUGACGGUACCGUAAGAAUAAGGAUCGGCUAACUCCGUGCCAGCCGCCGCGGUAAAAC